rnacentral:rRNA from 1 species
UAACGCGUGAGGAACCUGCCUUUCGGAGGGGGACAACAGUUGGAAACGACUGCUAAUACCGCAUGAUACAUUUGGAUCGCAUGGUCUGAAUGUCAAAGAUUUAUCGCCGAAAGAUGGCCUCGCGUCUGAUUAGCUAGUUGGUGAGGUAAUGGCCCACCAAGGCGACGAUCAGUAGCCGGACUGAGAGGUUGGCCGGCCACAUUGGGACUGAGAUACGGCCCAGACUCCUACGGGAGGCAGCAG